UACGUAGGGGCAAGCGUUGUCCGGAAUCAUUGGGCGUAAAGAGCGUGUAGGCGGCUCGGUAAGUCCGCUCUGAAAGCCCGGGGGCUCAACCCCGGGAGGCGGGCGGAUACUGUCGGGCUAGAGUCCGGAAGAGGCGAGUGGAAUUCCUGGUGUAGCGGUGAAAUGCGCAGAUAUCAGGAGGAACACCAAUGGCGAAGGCAGCUCGCUGGGACGGUACUGACGCUGAGACGCGAAAGCGUGGGGAGCAAACAGG
rnacentral:rRNA from 1 species